UGAGCAUCAAAUGUAGCUUCAAGGCUUCAUCAUUAGCAUGGGACUGCUUCAAUGAGUAUGACUUCUGUGCUUCGGAUCUAUGGACUCCAAUAAUCCACAUGGCUUCAUUGCAAGGGACUUCAGGGGAUCGGUUACGUGGAGCGUAUGUAGCGAGGCAUAAAAAAUUCCAUAUUUAUCUAUUAUGAGUUGAUGAUAUAGUACAAAUCAUGUGAAAUGGAAGAGAAAUUUUCUACUAGGGAUCUUCAUCUAGACAUCUUCAGUAGUCAAAAUACAUUUUACACGUUGAUUACAAUAAUCGAGUCUGAUUAGAGAAGUCUCAAAUUACAAAGCCGCCUUCUUAAAAUACAAUUAAAUAUUGGGCCUUACAGCAAUCUGAUUCAGAAAUUAUGCUAAUCAAACUUAUAUAAUAUUGACACACAGACCAACGUAAUAUAGUCCAACAAAGCUAGCGCACAAAAUAAUGGAAAUCCAGUUUCUUCCCUUCAACUUCACUACUUUCUUGCUUUUCAUAUCCUUCAUCUUUCUCUUAGUUAAGGGAUGGAAGAAAUCGAAUUCCCUGAAUAAGAACAUAAGAUUGCCUCCGAGUCCUUGGAAGCUGCCUUUGGUCGGAAACCUACACCACUUGGUUGGUGGACUCCCACAUCAUUCUCUAAGAAAGUUAACUGCAAAAUAUGGUCCCUUCAUUCAUUUGCAGCUUGGUGAAGUUUCUACGAUUGUCAUAUCAUCUCGUCAAAUUGCUAACAAUGUACUCAAGGUUCAUGAUCCCGCUUGUGCGGGCAGGCCAGAAAGUAUAGGAAUGAAGAUUAUGUGGUAUAACUAUACUGAUAUUGCAUUUAGUCCAUAUAAUGACUACUGGAGGCAAAUGCGCAAAGUAUGCAUUUUGGAGCUGUUAAGCACCAAAAAUGUCCGGUCAUUCGGUUCCAUAAGGGUAGAAGAGGCUUCGCGCCUUAUUAAAUCUAUUCAGUCACGUUCCGGGGGACCCAUCAAUCUAACUGAAAAGAUAUUCUCAUUUAAUAGUUCGAUGACAUGCAGAGCAGCCUUUGGUCAAGUGUUGAGGGACAAGGACACUUUGAUUAUAUUGAUGAAGGAAGGAGCAGCCUUAGCUGGGGGCUUUGAAUUGGCCGAUUUUUUUCCCUCAUCAAAGUUGCUGCAGUUCAUGAGUUGGAAUAAAAAUAGAUUGUGGAAGAUGCGUGCUAAACUUGAUUCGAUACUUGAUUCCAUAAUCGAUGAGCAUAAAGACAACUUAGCAGGAAAGAAAAGAGGAGAAGGAGAGUCGCUCGGAGAAAAUAUAGUAGAUGUUCUACUUCGGUUACAGCAAAGUGAGGAACUAGCUAUUCCAAUAACUAAUGACAACAUAAAAGCAAUCAUUUUUGUAAGUAUUUUCGUCAUAAGAAAUCACUUUUUUUUUUGCUUAACAUUUACUGCUCCAAAUAUAAUAACUAGUGUUAUGGUUGCAGGACUUGUUUUCUGCAGGAACUGAAACUUCAUCUGUAACAAUAGAUUGGGCGAUGGCAGAACUAAUGAGAAAUCCAGAUGUGAUGGCAAAGUCUCAAGCUGAACUAAGACAAGUUGUUAAAGAAAAGGGGACAUUCGAAGAGAGUGAUGUUCAAUCACUAAGAUAUCUGAAGUUGGUAAUCAAGGAAGCUUUAAGGAUGCACCCGCCCUUUCCUUUACUAGCAAGAUCAUGCAGGGAAGAGUGUGAAGUCAAUGGGUAUAUUAUACCCAAUAAAGCCAAAGUCAUGGUUAAUAUAUGGGCUAUGGGAAGAGAUCCAGAAUAUUGGGAUGAACCUGAAAGCUUUAAACCCGAGAGAUUUGAGAGCAAUUCCAUUGAUUUUUUGGGAAAUAACCUUGAAUUUAUACCAUUUGGAGCAGGAAAGAGGUUUUGCCCUGGCAUGAACUUUGCCUUGGCGAAUAUUGAACUUCCUUUGGCACAACUUCUGUACCACUUCAACUGGAAACUUCCCAACAAAAUGCAUUCUAAUGAUCUUGAUAUGGAAGAGGGAAAGGGAUUAAGUGUUCCUAGAAAAAAUGCCCUUUACUUGAUUCCCUCACCCUACUACUCUUCCACUGAUCGUUAAUUAAUCUAUCAAAAGGAGGUUCUUGAUCAAAACGAUAUAUAAGUUUAGACACAUAUCAUAUGUAGGAAAGUUAUAUUUCCUACACAAUUAUUUUCAUUGCAGUCUCUUUGUAUUCCUUGUCAUGUGAUGGUCACGGCGUUACCUUUAUGUAUAGCACUUUUCAUAAGAUUUGUAAUGUUUGAGGAUUAUAUAUUUCAUACUGUCGCUUUCUCAAAAGGAUCAAAUGUAAUAUGUUAACACUUAAAUUUCACUACAAAAUGAUAAAUAUAAUUAAACAACACAUUCAAUAAAACAAUUAAGAGUUUGGAAUAACUACCGUUUUCGGGAAUUUUUUAUGAAGAUGUUCUAAAGUCAUAUAAUCAUCCCUACGUACAUGUAUUAACACCUCAAUUAGCUCUCGGCCAUUGCACAUUUUUUACCUUUGAUUUCACGUUCAUCUAGGAGUGAUUUUGAAGUUAGCAGUCUACUCGUGUGUUCUCUGGCCAGAUACAGGGAGAUUCUUCAAGGAUUUACAGCUUUGUUUGUAGAAUAUAUCCAGCCUCAGUUCGGUUUGGAGCUGUGUGGUUUUUGCUACUGUUUGAGUUAACGUGCAGUCCAGGUUGUGCUGUUCAGGUCGGCCAGCUCAGGUGUUUUCAGUUUCGGUCAGCCAUAUUCAGGUUCCGAUUUUC
rnacentral:lncRNA from 1 species